rnacentral:rRNA from 1 species
GACGAACGCUGGCGGCGUGCCUAACACAUGCAAGUCGAACGGAACUGUUUCGAAAGAUUUCUUCGGAAUGAAUUUGAUUUAGUUUAGUGGCGGACGGGUGAGUAACGCGUGAGUAACCUGCCUUCAAGAGGGGAAUAACAUUCUGAAAAGAAUGCUAAUACCGCAUGACAUAUCGGAACCACAUGGUUUUGAUAUCAAAGAUUUUAUCGCUUGAAGAUGGACUCGCGUCCGAUUAGUUAGUUGGUGAGGUACCGGCUCACCAAGACCGCGAUCGGUAGCCGGACUGAGAGGUUGAACGGCCACAUUGGGACGGAGACACGGCCCAGACUCCUACGGGAGGCAGCAGUGGGGGAUAUUGCGCAAUGGGGGCAACCCUGACGCAGCAACGCCGCGUGAAGGAUGAAGGUUUUCGGAUUGUAAACUUCUUUUAUUAAGGACGAAAAAUGACGGUACUUAAUGAAUAAGCUCCGGCUAACUACGUG